rnacentral:rRNA from 1 species
AUUGAACGCUAGCGGGAUGCUUUACACAUGCAAGUCGAACGAGUGGCGGACGGGUGAGUAAUAUAUGGGAAAGUGCCCAAUAGCGGGGGAUCACUACUCGAAAGAGUGGCUAAUACCGCAUACUAUUGGAGCUGCCGAGAUAGGAUUAGCUAGUUGGUGGGGUAAAGGCUCACCAAGGCAAUGAUCCGUAGCUGGUUUGAGAGGACGACCCGCAAUAGGUGUACGGAGCGACCGAGACGACUCCGACGGGCGGCAGCAGUGGAGAAUUUUGGAUAAGGGGGGAAAUCCUGAUCCAGCGACCCGUCGUGUAUGAGACGGCCGUCGGGUUGUAAAGUACUUUUGGCAGAGAAGCGGUAUCUGAAGAAGAAGCACCGGAUAACUACGCGGCAGCCGCGGUAAUAC